UGUUUAAGAGACAUUGAAAUAUUUCUCCCUGCAUAAGCUUAUAUCAGAACGGAUAACCACUGAUAGUUAACAACAAGAUAUAUACAACCUAACCAUAAACAAAAUAUCAAACUAAUUGUUAACCCAACACAGGUAUGCAAAUUAGGGAAAGAUUAAAAGAAGUAAAAGGAACUCGGCA